GAUAAUUCAAAGAAGGAGAAAAAAUAAGGAAACCGAUUUAGCGACAAUGAGAUGGUGCAAGCAUUGACGGUGAACUUAUUCAGGACACUCCGGAGAAGAUUUUCUGAAAAGAGUAGGAAAAUACGUGAUACUGCGUUAAGGUCAAGGGCAUGAAUGAUCAUUCAUGAAUAAAGGUGGUACCGCGCGAAAGCGUCCUUUUU
rnacentral:ncRNA from 1 species